rfam:Laetiporus sulphureus 93-53 unplaced genomic scaffold LAESTscaffold_43, whole genome shotgun sequence.
GCGUGUGUGGUGUAAUGGUAACAUAGGGUCUUCCCAUGGCCCUGCCUCGGGUUCGAUUCCCGGCGCACGCA